rnacentral:misc_RNA from 1 species
UCUCCGUUGGUGAACCAGCGGAGGGAUCAUUACCGAGUUUACAACUCCCAAACCCAAUGUGAACGCUACCAAACUGUUGCCUCGGCGGGAUCUCUGCCCCGGGUGCGUCGCAGCCCCGGACCAAGGCGCCCGCCGGAGGACCAACCAAAACUCUUUAUGUAUACCCCCUCGCGGGUUUUUUUACAAUCUGAGCCAUCUCGGCGCCCCUCGUGGGCGUUUCGAAAAUGAAUCAAAACUUUCAACAACGGAUCUCUUGGUUCUG